UUUCUUUUCUUUUCCGUUUAUUAAAAAACUCAGAAACAUAAGAAUUUAAAAGAAAACUUAAAUUUUCCGUCCAUUUCUUUUCUUUUCUGUCCAUUUUAAAACUCAGAAACAAAGCGUUAUUAAGCACACCCCAACUAGCUAAUUAACCCACUACCUAACCUAAUCCGGAAGUGUUUUCGGUUUGAUGUUGGAUCUUUGGUCUCUCCCUUUUAUAAAUCUGUUUAUCGAAAUGGAUUUAUUUGAGUCUCGGUGAUUUUGUCGGCGUUUAUUAUCAAAAAGCAUAUAUGUUCGUCGAUCUUAAGAUCUGCUUGGCCGUGUGAUUUUUUGUUUGACCGAAUUUUGGGGUUUGUUUUGUCCGUAGAUCUGACCCGUGUGGUUGGCCUCAUUCUUAAUCUGGUAUGUUCGUAUGCUGCGUGUUGAGGUUUGGUUGGGCCUUUGUCAACUGAAAUUUUCUUCGCAGUUUGUUUUUUACAAUCUAAUCUACUUGUAAAUCCUUUUGUUAGAUUGUCUUUUCAAUUUUCUGAUUGGUUGUCGGGUUCUAGAUUUGAUUUUAAAUUCGGUGGUUUAAAGUCUAAUGUUUUGGUCCAGUAGAUCCGGUCUCCUCCCGAUUGUUUUUUUUUUCAUUUUACCAAUUUGGGUUGAUGUUUUCCCUUGAUUUGGUUUAAACUGUUUGAAUCUUUGUAUUGGUUUCGAAAUCUUGGGUUGAUUUCUAAUAAUCAGAUUUUUGUCGAAAACCAUAGUGAUUGAUCUGGGAUGGCAGGGGUUGAUGCUUGUUUGGUUGUAAUUUGCUUUUGGUCAUGAUUUUUGGGGGUCUGCUGGGGUUGCCAGUCUUGUCGGCUGACUGCCCUUGCCUGCCAAUGGCUUCCUUCGUGGGCUCUGUUCCCCACUUGCUAAUUGGGUUUUUUUUGAAUUGAUGUUUUUUUAGGAACAAUUACAUAUUCUAUUACAUUUUUAAAAAUAAUUAUAACAAUAGUUCACUCAUAAAAUAUUUACACAAUUAAUACACUUUUAUAUUUAUUUACAAUAUUAGUGCAAUUAGGAUUCUUUAAUUUAGGGGAUUAAUAUUGAUUUACUUAUUAAAUUAAGUAAUUAAUAAGUAAAUUAUAUAGCACACCUUCUCUUUUCUUAAUAAAAAUCACGCUUCCCCUUGUCAGUCUUCUCCUCGCCAUCCUCCGCUCUCCUCCACCAUUAACGCCCUUCUCCUCCGCCCUCCUCCACCAUUAACGCUAUUAUCCUCCGCCAUUAACCUAGACAGUCCCCAUCCUCCGCCCUCCUCCACCAUUAACGCCCUUCUCCUCCGCCUUCCUCUACCAUUAACGCCCUUCUCCUUCGCCCUCCUCCACCAUUAACGACAUCCUCCACCAUUAACCUAGACAGUCCCAACUUGUUAAUGUCAUCAUCCACUUGCGAUUUUUUCAUAGUACAGUUGCUGCGAUUUUUUUAUAGUACAGUUGGUAGCCAAACAUUCAUACCAAGGUAACCAAUUCAGUGUUAUUAGGUUUCUAAUUUAUUUUUAAAAAAUCUAUUAUAGAUUUUUUUUAUUUAAUAGUGCAGUUGGUAGCUAACACUUUAUACAAACGUAACCAAUUCAAUUUUAUUGGGUUACUAAUUAAUUAAAAAAAAUCUAUUGUAGAUUUUUUUUUUUAUAAUGCAGUUGGUAGCCAAACCUUAAUACAAAGGUAUCCAAUACAGUUUUAUUGGGUUAUUAAUUAAUUAUAAAAAAUCUAUUAUAGAUUUAUUUAUUUUUGUAGUGCAAUUGGUAGUCAAACCUUAAUACAAAUGUAACCAACAAAAACUAAAAUUGUUACCUUUAAAAGUUUUGGUUACCAACUACACUGAAAUUUCUCUUGGUUACCCACAAAAAUUAAAAUGGUUACUUUUGUAUAAAUAUUUGGAUACUAACUGCACUAAAAUUUAUCUUUUUUUCCUUUUAAUUUCUGAACUAAAUCAACAUUCGUCAUAAUAGCAGCUGUGGCCGUAAUGGAUGAAGAGAUCGGCGUCCAUGGUGUUGAAGCAGUAGCGAAGGGGAGGAGGAAGAUGACCGGCGAAGAGGAGGAGGAAGAUGACGUUGCCAAACUUUGAAUAUUUGAAUUUUAAUUAUUAUUUUUGAAUUUGAAUUUGAAUUUGUUGUUAGAUCCAAGAUAUUUGAAUUUGAAUUAUUAAUUAUUAAUUAUGGUAGUUAUUUCUCCUUGAUUUUAGGUUUCCUUAUUAUUA
rnacentral:lncRNA from 1 species